AGAGUUUGAUCCUGGCUCAGGAUGAACGCUGGCGGCGUGCCUAAUACAUGCAAGUCGAGCGAAUGGAUUAAGAGCUUGCUCUUAUGAAGUUAGCGGCGGACGGGUGAGUAACACGUGGGUAACCUACCCAUAAGACUGGGAUAACUCCGGGAAACCGGGGCUAAUACCGGAUAAUAUUUUGAACUGCAUAGUUCGAAAUUGAAAGGCGGCUUCGGCUGUCACUUAUGGAUGGACCCGCGUCGCAUUAGCUAGUUGGUGAGGUAACGGCUCACCAAGGCGACGAUGCGUAGCCGACCUGAGAGGGUGAUCGGCCACACUGGGACUGAGACACGGCCCAGACUCCUACGGGAGGCAGCAGUAGGGAAUCUUCCGCAAUGGACGAAAGUCUGACGGAGCAACGCCGCGUGAGUGAUGAAGGCUUUCGGGUCGUAAAACUCUGUUGUUAGGGAAGAACAAGUGCUAGUUGAAUAAGCUGGCACCUUGACGGUA
rnacentral:rRNA from 1 species